rfam:Picea glauca, whole genome shotgun sequence.
ACAUGCCUACAACAUAGUGUUAAUGCACCAGAUACCAUUAGAACCCCACAAUUAAGCGCACUCAAGCUAGAGUAGUAUUGGGAUGGGUGGCUUCCCAAGAAUUCAUAGUGUUUUACAUGCC